AGAGUUUGAUCAUGGCUCAGGACGAACGCUGGCGGCGUGCUUAAUACAUGCAAGUCGAGCGAGGUUAUCUUUUCAAAGUCCUUCGGGACCGCGAAUUUUUAACCUAGCGGCGGACGGGUGAGUAACGCGUGGGCAACCUGCCCUAAAGCCUGGGAUAACAGCGGGAAACUGCUGCUAAUACCAGAUACCUUUACGAUGAGGCAUCUUGUUGUAAAGAAAGAUUUAUCGCUUUAGGAUGGGCCCGCGUCCCAUUAGCUAGUUGGUGAGGUAACGGCUCACCAAGGCGACGAUGGGUAGCCGGCCUGAGAGGGUGGACGGCCACACUGGGACUGAGACACGGCCCAGACUCCUACGGGAGGCAGCAGUAGGGAAUACUGCGCAAUGGAGGAAACUCUGACGCAGCGACGCCGCGUGAGCGAUGAAGGUCUUCGGAUCGUAAAGCUCUGUCCUUGGGGAAGAAGGUCUUCGGACUUGACGGUACCCAUGGAGGAAGCCCCGGCUAACUACGUGCCAGCAGCCGCGGUAAUACGUAGGGGGCAAGCGUUGUCCGGAGUUAUUGGGCGUAAAGGGUGCGUAGGCGGCCUUUUAAGUCAGAUGUGAAAGCCCACGGCUCAACCGUGGGAUUGCAUUUGAAACUGGAGGGCUUGAGUAUCGGAGAGGGUAGUGGAAUUCCCAGUGUAGCGGUGAUACGCGUAGAUAUUGGGAGGAACACCAGUGGCGAAGGCGACUACCUGGACGAUUACUGACGCUGAUGCACGAAAGCUAGGGGAGCAAACAGGAUUAGAUACCCUGGUAGUCCUAGCCGUAAACGAUGGGUACUAGGUGUAGGAGGUUUCGAUACCUUCUGUGCCGCGGUUAACGCAUUAAGUACCCCGCCUGGGGAGUACGUGCGCAAGCAUGAAACUCAAAUGAAUUGACGG
rnacentral:rRNA from 1 species